rnacentral:lncRNA from 1 species
CAGAAGGUACACUGGCCCUGGAGUAGGGAAGUUUCCCUAAUCCAUCUCUUUGACCAUGACCUUCACAAAAGUGACUAUAGAGGAGUCAUUUUAAAAUGGAGUCAGAGCUGCCUGUCCAGAGAAAUUGCUUGGCUGUCUUAAACCUCGGACUGGGCCAAACCUGUGGAGAGGACCAGAAUGGCAAUUGUUUUACAAGCAAUUGUUUGAGAAGUCAGCAGGAGAACAGACACUCUGAUCACAAAGACCGAGGGUUGUGGACUUUCUGAAGAUGGAAUCAAUAGCCAAUCAAUGUUUAACCAAGACUAGCUGUCUGCCUCCAACUCCAAUUAAAAUUCUUUGUAAUACAACCUCCCUUCUUUGCCUUUAAAAGCUCCUGAUUUUUAGUGCCUAGUGGAACACUUUUUGAGUUUCUACCUAAAUAUGUUUCUCCCAAAUUGCAGUUCUAAUUGCCCAAAUAAAUAUCUGCUGUUUAAAUUGCAGUGAUUUUUCCUCUGUCAACAACCUACGAGGUGGUAAGCAACUAUAAGACGUGAGGCCAGAGAAAUGUGCUUGUCAUUUGUGUGUCCUCAGUCUCUGGUACUAGUCACAGAGUCAGUGCCCUGAAUGCUUUCGAGUAAAUUAAUUAAUCAGUGUUGGAAAAUACUCAAGGUACGACUUCAAGAACUUGAAUUCCCAGGCAAGACUGGGAUCUCAGGAGCCAAAGCUGAGCACAGGAGAAGGAAUUGUUAGAUGUACAAAUAAAAAGAUCUGACAGUUGACUUUAAUUGCAUAAAGAAACACAGCCUUUCGCAUUUGAACUUUGACCAACCAGGCAUCUCACACAUGUCCUGAGCGGAGCCAUUGAUGUCCCCAUAGUCUCCCAUCUCAAUACGUGUCAACUCUACUCUUCCAGUUGCACAGGCCAAAAAACUUUCGUUAUCCUUGACCCCUCUCUUUCACUCACACCAGUCCAGGAGAAAAUCCCAACGGCUUUUCCUUCAAAAGAUAUUUGGAGUCCAACCAUGUCUUAAGGCUUCCCCUUAAGCCAUCCAUCAUCCUUCCAAGCCAUCAUCCUCUCUCUCCUGGAUUAUUGCAAUCACCUCCUUCUGGUCCCCCUGCUGUCACCUCAGCCGCCUCUAAUCUAGUCUCAACUCAGCAGCCAGGAAGCUCCUGUUAAAACAGUCAGGUCAUGUCGCCCCUCCACUCAAACCCCUCAGCGUGAAGGCCAGAGUCUUCACUGUGUUCUACAUGACAGUGCGAACAGGCUCUUUGUCUCCACCAUGACCUCAUCUCACCAUAGGCUCUUCUCGCUUACCCAGCUCCAGGCUCGUCCACCUCUGGGCCUCUGCUCUAGCUGUUCCUCUGCCUGGAAGACUCUUUCCUAGAUGUCAGCGUGCUCUGGGCUAUGCAGAAUAAUGGCCCCCUGAAGAUAUCUAUGUCCUAAUCCUUGGAACCUGUGAAUACAUUAGGGUUCAUGGCAGAGGAGAAUUAGAGCAAUAGAUGGAGUUUGUGUUAUGGGCUGAACUGUGUCCCCUCAAAACUCCUAUAUUGGAGUCCUAACCCCCAGGACUUCAGAAAGUUACUGUGUUUGGGGACAGAGUCUUUAAAGAGGUAAAAUGAGGUCAUUGCGGGUGGGCUCUAAUAACUGGUGUCCUAAUCAGAAGAGAUCAGGACACAGACACACGCAGAGAAGACGAGGUGAAGACACAGGGAGAAGACAGCCACCCACAAACCAAGGAGCAAGGCAUUAGAAGAAACCAACUCUGCUGACACCUUGGUUCCAAACUUCUCACCUCCAGAAUUGUGAGAAAAUAAAUUUCUGCUGUUUAAGCCACGCACUCUGUGGUCCUUUGUGACGGCAGCCCCAGCAAACUAACACAGGCUGCUCAUCAGCUAACCGUGAGACGAGAUUAGCCUGGAUUAUCCAGCUGGGCCCAAUGGAAUCACAGGGUCCUUAUAAAUGGAAGAGGGAGGCAGAGAGAGAGAACCAAAGAGACGGCGUGAGGUGCGCUGGGUCUGGUGAUGCCGGCUUUGAAAAUGGAGGAAUUCGGUUACAAGCCAAGGUGUGCAGGUUGACUAUGGAAACUGGCAAAGGGGAGGAGAGGAAACACACUCUCCUCUAGAACCUCCAGGAGGAACGCAGCCCAGCCAACGCCUUGAUUUUAGCCCCUGAGACCAAUUCUGGACGUCUGACCUCCAGAAUAGUAAGAUAAUAAAUUUGUGAUGUUUAAGCCACUAAAUUUAUAGUAAUUUGUCAGAGCAUCAACAGGAAACUAACAUGCCCCUCUUCAUCUCCUUCAGGUCUCUAACUCGCUUCUCAGCGCAGCCUGCCCGGACUUCCCUGUUUAAAAUUGAACACCCCCACCCCCACCCCUCUUUCCCACUUUAUUUUUCUCUUUAGCAUUUAUUACCAUCUAACGUAUGACAGAUUUUGACUUAUUUAUCACGUUUAUUGUUUGUCUCCCUCUUUAAAACAUAAACACACAAGGGCAUGAAUUUUUGCUUCUUUUGAAUCUUCCAACCACAUAGUAGAUGUUCAAGAAAUAUUCAAUGAAUUGGCUAAACAGUUUAACUUGAAUAGGGAAAGUAUUAAUUUAAGAUUACGUAAUUAUAAACAACCCUUUCCCCAUAAAACAGCCACCGCCCCCCCAAAAAAAUGUUCUAUAAUUUGUGGUGGUUGUCUCUUUAUAUUUUCUUAAUUCAGUUUUAGAAUCAAAUAGAUCCUGGUCUAUCCACAAUGACAGUCACACAAGAAGGCGCAUCAGAGAGGCUGGCCCCAUGGCCAAGUGGUUAAGUUCGUGCGCUCCGCUUCGGCGGCCCAGGGUUUCACCGGUUCAAGUCCUGGGUGCGGACAUGGCACCACUUGUCAGGCCACGCUGGGGUAGCAUCCCACAUGCCACAACUGGAAGGACCCACAACUAAAAAUACACAACUAUGUACCAGGGGGCUUUGGGGAGAAAAAGGAAAAAUAAAAUCUUAAAAAAUAAAAAAAUAAAUAAUAAUAAAAAAAGAAGAGGCAUCAGAAAGGAGUCGUAAAAAGAACCAACUGUGUUAAUAGCAUUGGCCAGAAGGUUUGGGGGGGCAUCUAACAAGUAAACUACAGGGGGCUGUGCCCCACCCACUCCUGGGCCUUGGCUCCACCUCAGCGGUUGCCCGUGCUCAGAGAAUGGGAAUCUUUGGAAAUAUUAGUCAGUUCCCUAGAACAGGUGUGUGCAUUUCUCUAGGGAAAGAAUCCAUUGAUGUCACCAGCUUCUCAAAGGGGUCAGUGAACAUUUAGGGAUCCCUGACCUAGAAUCAGCCAUUUGUCUGUAAAUAUUCUCACCAGGAUUCCAGACCUUACCCACAGAGAUCAUGUUUGAACUAAUAUAAUAAACUGGUGAUAAAAUAAGGGUCCGAUGAUUGUGAUUUUCAAUUUUAAAAUAAUUUUUCUGUGCUGAUCCAACCUUAG